GAUAACUCUUGUCCGAUUAGCAGAAAUGAAAGAGUUAUCUUUCCGUGACUUUUUCAUCGAGGGUUAGAGAGUUGGCAUGCAUGCGUCUUGUCCCGCACGGUUUGGCGACGUAGAGAUGACAUAAAUAGAUGACCUCUGACCGCUGGACAAAAGAAGAUCUAAUGAAAUCUGACGAAUUUGAAGUAAAACAAUAUUGAACUAGCAACUAACAAGAACUAACAACUAACAAGAACUAACAACUAACAAGAACUAACAACUAACAAGAUCUAACAAAUCGCAAGGACUAAAUAAUAAGAACUAACAAAUCACAAGAACUGACAACUACUGGAACUGAUAAAUACAGAGUACCCUGGGGGAAAAGAUCUUUAAAACUAUAGGCAUGAUAUCAUAUACGAGAUAUUUACUAUUUGUGUUCCUUUUGGUAAUUGGCGAGACCUUGGCGUUAGAUAGGCUGGCCUACGCUUGUGAGGGUAUGCAAGUUUCCCUGCUGUGUGGUGACACCGACAAAGUGAUCAGUGUCACCAGCGCCAGAUACGGUCGCUUCUCCAGGAAUGUGUGCUUAGACAACGACAGCCAUGAUUAUAGCCAUAUCUUCUGCUCGCAAAAUCAAACAAAUGUUGUUUCAGCAUUAUGUAGCGGACGUUUCUUUUGCCAGGUCCCGGUCAACAGUAACACCUUCAGAAACCCGUGUCCGCCAAAUGUUUACAAACAUGCUGAAAUCACGUACACGUGCAGCGCAAGAUGAAAACAAAACAUUUUAUUUCAAGCUAAUAAAUAUUAUUCAAAUCA